AUGAGACCAGUGAUAGGAAUCACUCUUUUCCUCACUUUGGGUAUUAUGGGCAAUGCUAAGUCCACACAGCCAGAUGCAGUGGAGAGUACUGAAGAUGUAGCUGUGCACCUGCCCUGUAACCACUCCACAAUCAGUGGAAAUGAGGACAUACAUUGGUAUCGACAGAUUCCCCACCAGGGUCCAGAGUACAUGAUUCAUGGUUUACAAGGCAAUGUGACCCAAGGAACAGCCUUUCUCUACAUCACAGCAGACAGAAAGUCCAGUACCCUGAUCCUGACCCACAUUACCCUGAGAGACUCUGCUGUGUACUACUGCAUCAUGAGAGACCCACAGGUUGGGUGGCUGUGUGACAACGACAACAAGCUGACGUUUGGGCAGGGAACAAGCUUAUCAAUUAUUCCAAAUAUCGAGAACCCUGACCCUGCCGUGUACCAGCUGAGAAGCCCUGAAUCUAGCAACACUUCCAUCUGCCUGUUCACCGAUUUUGAUUCUAAGACCAAUGUGUCCCAAGCCACGGGUUCCUCAGUAUUCGCCUCCAACAGCACAGUGCUGGACAUGCAGUCCACUCACUCCAAGAGCUAUGGGGCCCUGCACUGGAGUGACAAGGCUGAUUUUGGAUGUCAAGACACCUUCAGCGAGACCUUCUACCCCAGCUCAGAAUUUUCCUGUGAUGUUACGUCGGUAGAGAAAAGCUUUGAAACAGACAUGAACCUGAACUUCCAAAACCUGUCCGUGAUUGGGUUCCGCAUCCUGCUGCUGAAGGUGGCCGGCUUCAACCUGCUCAUGACGCUGCGGCUGUGGUCCAGCUGAGGUCACCAAGAACGUGAGAGCCCAAUGCUCCUCGCUCCUCGCUCCUCCCCACCCACCUCUCUCUCAAGCAGAGAGGUGCACUCUCGGCCUCCAAGGAGGAGAAGUCCCCCUUCGCCUCUGUGGCCCCUCUGGCAACGCCACCAACUGGACCCUACCAGAUACUUGUGAUCAAGAUGCUGACGAGCUGCCAAACUCUGCUGCCACUCCUGCCAUCCCCUCGUUGCUGCUUGUCACCACCCGACAUUCCCAGGGAAGGCAGGGGCUGUGGCAGCCCCUCCUGGCUGUGGGACCCCCCACUCCUCCCAAGGCUGCCUCUGAUGUCUCACUGGGCGAUGGAUCACUGGGGGGUGGGGGGUCUCUCGGGUUCUAGCUCCUAGAGAAUGUUGUGAGGAGCUUAUAUUUUUUAUAUUUUUAAAAGUGUUCAUGAAAAAAUGCAUAUCGCCCUUUCCCCCAAGAUGUGGGGGAAAUUGCCCCCUGACCGAGGCCCUGCUGUGCUGCGCGUGUGAGCCGCUCGUGCCUGCUGCUGCCCCAGCUUCAUUAAAGUGGUUUGGAAGA